CCUCUCUCUCUGGUUUAUUUUUAGAUCUGGGAUGAACAGGCAUGCCUAAAGGAUUUAGGCCACCACUACAGAAUUGCAAGAAAGAAAGCGAGGGGAGCGACGACAACUGUAAGGCCGCCACUGCUGCUGAGGAAGCUGAGGUUUAGAAGUCUUGAAAUUUGAAGUAGAGCAAUCAAUUGACGCCGAAGUUGAUGAGGCAGAGAGGUUUGGUUGAAGGUACCUCUCGAUUUAGCUCCAAGACUCCGAGUGCUCCACCAUCGAGAAUAUAGAAAAGCCGAAGGGUUCUUCUUCCGCAAUUCUUCAACAAGCAAAUCAUGGAUAACAUCAGCUUCCCUGAUCCUCACAAGAAGUUUUUGUUGGAAAUCAAGGGUAAGGGUUCCAUAUCCAUUCCAAUGAGGGCGGCCAGAUUUUAAUGCUAGAGAUACUUUUGCAAUUAUGGCUGCUGCUUUUGUUGCCAUAAUUGAGUGUAUCCCAGCGUAGCUGGACUAAUAACUGCACCGUAGACGCAUGAAUCUUGGUGUUUAAUCAACCUUGGUCCCUCAAAUCUGCUGGCCACGGGGUGGAGCUGAGAUUCGAAUGCUAGACCUGGGGGUUCCAGACUAGGCCGCUCGACCAACACACCACACCACGUGGUUCAAUCGUAUAUAUUCUUAGAAGUAUACAUUGUAUAUACUAUAUAUUUAAUAUAGAGAUUGGGAUUACUAUAGCUAUUUUUACAAAUCUAGAUGGAGAUUCUAGAGGUGGAGCAGCUUUGAGUGUUAAAAGGUUUGUUUGUUGCCUUACUUUUCGUUCAAAGUAAUCUCAUUCAUUCUUCUGCCCCAUUUAGUUGCAUUAUGUAUUCAUCCCAUGAUUUCAUUCCAUAGGUAUGAGGCACAAAAAAUAUAGCGACCAGCAAGCUGUGUAAAUUAGAAGAAGCAAUCUGAACUAAUUGAAGUUGCUUAUUAAGGUUCUUCUUUCCUUUCUACCCUCCUUUUUGUUUUAAACUUAACUGGCAAAACAGACUAGUGUUCUAUCACAUUUGAGUUAUAUAGUGCUAGAUAAAACAAGGUGAAACAAAGAUACUAGAUAUAUUUUUCUGAUGAGGUACAUAAUGAGUUUGUUCUAUUUGUGUUUUGACUGUUUUCAGAUUUGGUCAACAACCUUGGUACCAUUUCAAGGUCUGGCAUCAAGGACUUCAUGAAAGCCUUGGCUGCCGGAGUUGAUGUUAGCUUGAUGGUCAGUUUGGUGUUGAGUUCGACUCUUGCAUAUCUUAUUGCUAAGAAGGAAGAGGAUGUUUAUCAAGAGAAGGAAGUGGACAAGUACAAUAUGUUUUUGGCCUUGAUGUUCUUGGCCUUUAUGUUUAGGUAGGGUUUGUAUGUUGACGUUGGGAUGAUGUUAGAAUGAAUUGGUUUUGGAUGUUUAAUUAAUGGAUGUGUUUUUGGCUAUGUUGAUCUAUUGGUUUUGGUUAGAUGCCAUAUGCAG